CUGAGAACUCACACAGGAGAGAAGCCAUAUUCAUGUCCUGAAUGUGAGAAAAAUUUUACUCAAAAAUCAAGUCUUAUUGAACAUCAAAGAAAUCAUACAGGAGAGAAACCAUUUCCAUAUCCUACCACCACUGAGGAAGGGGCCAGGAAAGGACCCCGAA